rnacentral:rRNA from 1 species
UAGAUGAUUGGGGUGAAGUCGUAACAAGGUAGCCGUAUCGGAAGGUGCGGCUGGAUCACCUCCUUUCUAAGGAA